UAAGGCAGUUGUGAUGGAAUGUAAAAUUCACAAGGUAGAAUGGUAGAAUGGAGCCAGACUGAAGAGAUUGUAGUUUACUCUGGAGGCAACUUAGAGCCUCUGGAGCCUCCCUCUUGGGCCAGGUCAGACUUUUAGGUAGCAGUAUGGAAGAUGGAUUGGAGAGGAGAGGGGCUCAGGACAAAUUCAAAGGAGAGUCUUAUAAUCCAGAUAAGAAAUGAUAAGGGCCUGACCCCAAGGGAUACCACUGCAAUGCAGUGGGGACUUCAGGACAUCUGGAGAACAAGAAAGCAGAUCUUUAAUAGUAUUUUAUGUCACAUGGAAGGGUCAAGUUUCACUGAUAGAAUGAAUGCCAAUCAUUCAACAAGAAUAUGCCUUCAGCAAAGAUACUUAAAAAUGAAAUCACCCCCAAAGAAAUAACUAAACAACUCAUGGCAGAUAAAUGGAAUGAAAUACUAUUGUCCUCUAAGAAAUUAUGAAGGGGAGGGGGGAUUAGAAAAACAUGAGAUGACAUGAAUGAACUGAUAAGAGUGAACAGAACCAAUCAAGAGAACAAUUUGUACAACGACAACAACAUGGUAAAGACAAACAAUUUUGAAAGAAUUAGGAACUCAUCAAUAUAAUGACAAACCAUGAUGCCAGAGGAUGAAUGAUGAAAUGUGCUACUACCUCCCCUCCUGGAAAGAAACUCAGUAUAGAAUCAGACAUAUUUUUGGACAUGGCCAAUACAUAAAUAUGUGUCUGACUGCAACAA